GGACUCGUGAGCGCGCCGCUGCCGGGACCGCUCCUGGGCCUUAGAGAAGACGCGGAUAAGGGCCAAGGAAAGAGGGAGGUAGCGGUUGCUGAGCUCCUUCGGCGCUUCGGCUCCUGUAGCUCUGACUAUUCGGACCGUCAAGGUAGAAUAGGAGGCGGCCAGUUCCCCGCUCUAAGAAGUUGCCUGCGCUCUGAGAGACAGGUGCCGCUGUGUUGCCUAGGAUGAUCUCAAACCGCUAAGCUCAAGCAAUCCUCCUGCGUCGACUUUCCAAAGCGCUGGAAUUAUGGGCGUGAGCCACUGUGCCCAGGUGGGUUUUCUAUAUAUCAGAUUAUGUCAUAUGCAGAGAUAAUUUAACUUCUUUUCUGAUUUGGAUGACUUUUAUUUCUUUUUCUUGCCUAAUUACUCUGGUAUAUUCCUUCUUUAAAUUGUUGAGAGUUUUUAUCAUGAAAGAUGUUGAAUAUUAUUAAAUGCUUUUUCUUGCAUCUACUGAAUUGAUCAUAUGAUUUUUAUACUUUGUUUAGUUAAUGUGAAAUAUUGCAUUAGUUGAUUUGCCUAUGUUGAACUAUCCUUGCAUCUCAGGAAUAAAUCCUACUUGAUCUUAGUGUAUGAUACUUCUAAUGUGGCAUUGAAUUUUGUUUGCUAAUAUUUUGUUGAGGAUUUUUGCCUGUAGAGCCAGAAGUCAGGGAUAUUGACCUAUAAUUUUCUUUUCUUUGUAGUUAUCUUUAUCUGGCUUUGAUGUGAGGGUAAUGCUGGCCACAUAAAAUGAGUUUGGAAGUGUUCCUUUCUCUUCAGUUUUAAAUGCUUGGUAGAAUUCACCCAUGAAGCUAUCUGGUCUGGGCUUUUCUUUUUUUUUUCCUUUCCUUUCUUUUUUGUUUUUUACUAGCCCUGCCAAAGGAAGACCUCAAAAAAUUAGCUAAAAAGUCAGAGUCUUUCCUCUCCAUAGGAAUCUUGAGUAAAAGGUGAAAAAUUUAUGUGACCUGAAAACAAGCCAGAAUAUUGCUGGGUUUUUCUCUAUUGGGAAGUUUUUGGUUACUGGAUCAAUCUCCUUACUCAUAAUUGGUCUGUUCAGAUUUUCUGUGUCUUUGUGAUUCAGUCUUGGUAAAUUGUAUGUUUCUACAAAUUAGAGUACUACCUUGAACUUAACAGAUGUUCAUUAAAUAUUUAAUUGACUGAUUCUUCUUGUCUCAUAAGAAUGAUAUAAGAAAAUACAUAGUGUUAAUGUCAUGUCAAGCCGUUAAAACGUUAAAGUUAUAAUGUGAGAAGUUACUUUGAAUGGUUCAGCCCAUGAGCAGGGUAUUUUGUAUAGCAGCAAUAACUAUUUGUUUAUUUUUAUUUUUUUAGGGACAGGGUCUUGCUAUGUUGCCCAGGCUGGUGUCAAACUCCUGGACACAAGUGAUCCUCCUGCCUUGGCCUUCCAAAGUGCUGGGAUUACAGUCAUGAGCCACCACACCUGGCUCAUUAUUUGUUAUUGGUAACAUAUUAGAUAUCUAUUGCUGCAUAAUGAAUAACCCCAAAACAUAGUGGCUUAAAACAAUAAAAAUCAUUUAUUAUCUCUCACAA